UUUGUAUGUGCGUACCAGAGAGAAUGUCUACGAGAAGCAUCAGCAGGGUGUGAAGCUGCAGUUUCAGUGCUCAGAUCUCCUUAGAGCACCUCACCCAGUCCCUGAGGACUAACGGCAGUGAUAGAUGUGGUAAAGAUGGCAAAGAUGGCCAGAUGUGGGGAGGAGCACUGCACCAAGUCAGUUUGACAGCUUAUUGGAGAUCAUAUGUCUUCUACAGAACAAAGUUGAGAAAAACAUUGACUCCAGGAAGGUGAUUUUGCAUGAAAUUGCAAAAGCUGAUGGACACAAGCUUAGUCUUUACCUACUUGCAGCCGAGUUCUACCUCAGACCUGUUUACCAAUUACAAUUUUGUUCUAAACACACCCUUUUUAGCUGCUGAUAAAGAGCCUUGAAACUAUUUGCGUGAUGUUGCUAACGACAGGGAACAGUGUACCUAAACAAUGUUUUAUUAUGAUGGCAAAACCAACUGUUGGGAGAGCUGCCUUGUGCCCAAAAGGUCUAUAUGGUGCUUCAGCAACAGGGGUUUUCACAAUAAAUUGUGAAAAUUGGAAGGAGAAGAGGAAAAAACAACACCCCAGACUUCAAACAAAUCUUGCUCCCCAUUUUUCUUCCAAGGUGUUGAACGAUACAUGACAUCAUAUGAUGUGUGGUAAUUCUCCCUUCUCUAUUUUGAAGGGAAUAAAUGGGUUCUAUUUCUGAGAAAAUGUACUAAAGCCAAAUUUUACUGUCAGUUACCCUGAUGUCAGUCCCAAGCAAAACCAAUUCAAAUGCAAUUCCUCUGGAUUCAUGCUGAUGUAACAGAGAACAGAAUGUGGUGCUUGAAAAAGCAGCUGUCACCUUAUGGAAAACUUUAUGAAAUAUCUUAUUUGGAAACAAGUGUUCUUCUGUGCAGUGUAUUUCCCUGUACUUCUUUUCUUUCGUUCUUUCUUUCUGAGGACAGUGUUUUAAAACAGAAUCACCGUUGUUUCUUAAGAAUUUAUCUGCUUCUGCACUUAUUCCCCACCUGACAUCAUAAUCCUCUGUUUGUGACAUAAUAAUAAUUUUUACAAUGACCAAUUGUGAUACUACAAGCUGGGCUUAAAAUCUGAUCCAAAAAAUGCCUUUUACUCUGAUAUCUUACAUAACGUCAUAUCAACUUUCAGCUCAAGAGAUAAUAAUUUCAACCAAGUGACAUCAAUUAAGUUUUCAUAUAAGGGAGUGGUACACUUGAUAUAACUCCCUAGAGAUAAAUCCCUCCAUAGUUUACAUUUUUAUGAUUUGACCUUUAAAAACACUUCCACUUUCUAGCGAUGCUCGGUUAUACAAGUCUAAUGAUUUUGCUGAAGAAGAAAACAUUACAUAUACUUUUCAGUCCAGUCUCCCACAGGAGUUAAAAGUCACAAGAAACAGGAGCUUAAGAAAAGGAAAAUGAAAUGCAAAUAUAAUUCUCAUGAAUUGUUCAAUGAAUUUCAGAUACCAUAGUGAUUUAUGUGAAUAACUUGAAAAGCAACAUCCUUCUUGACAAGCGCUGAAUGAGUACCCUUCCAAAGUUUGCAGUCUUAUGUUUGAGGAUACAGUUUUAUCCUGUAUUUUUGCUCUGAAAUUCAGUGGUUUCUCUGUUCAUCCUACCAUCUUUGGCAGCUUUAACUGGAGUUAUUCAUGGGUUUCAAAUUAUGCACAUGCUUUGCUGGAUCCAUGCCCAUGUGUGUUGAAAUUUUGUAAAGACUAGGACAGACAGCACAAUCCAAAAUCAGAGAGAGACAAUUUUUUCCUCUUUAUCACACUUCAAACUUUAAGGAAGGACCUCCAGGAAAAAUAGUUAUCUAGGCAAACAAGUUAUCAGAUGCUGCAUAACUUAAAUUUUACCUUCUUAACAACUGAAAAUACUUGAAAAUUGAAGACUGUGCCUAAAUUUAAGCCUGACCACUAACCCAGCCAGAUGCAGGAUCUAGGAUUUCUAGAAUUUCAAAGUUUCAUGUUUAUGGUAGACCAUUAUACAGAGCUGUAAAUUAUUUUUAACAAAUAUUAAAUUCUGGACUGUUUAAAUGACUGGAUUUCAACAUGUUUCCUUCUAUAACAGAUAUUUCUAAGGAAAUUGCUUCCUUAAUUUAAAUAUUU